GACGAACGCUGGCGGCGUGCCUAAUACAUGCAAGUAGAACGCACAGUUUAUACCGUAGCUUGCUACACCAUAGACUGUGAGUUGCGAACGGGUGAGUAACGCGUAGGUAACCUGCCUGGUAGCGGGGGAUAACUAUUGGAAACGAUAGCUAAUACCGCAUAAUAUUAAUUAUUGCAUGAUAAUUAAUUGAAAGGUGCAAUUGCACCACUACCAGAUGGACCUGCGUUGUAUUAGCUAGUAGGUGAGGUAACGGCUCACCUAGGCGACGAUACAUAGCCGACCUGAGAGGGUGAGCGGCCACACUGGGACUGAGACACGGCCCAGACUCCUACGGGAGGCAGCAGUAGGGAAUCUUCGGCAAUGGACGAAAGUCUGACCGAGCAACGCCGCGGGAGUGAAGAAGGUUGUCGGAUCGGAAAGCUCUGUUGUAAGAGAAGAACGGGUGUGAGAGUGGAAAGUUCACACUGUGACGGUAUCUUACCAGAAAGGGACGGCUAACUACGUG
rnacentral:rRNA from 1 species